GAUAGGUCAUCUCAUCUGGAAGGAGAGAUGGCUUAAAGGGGUACGCGGGCUUCUUCCGCGAAUCUGCUCCAGGAUGGGACUGCGUCCGAUCAGGCUGUUGGCGGGGUAAUGGCCCACCAAACCUGUAACCGGUACGGGCCUUGAGAGAGGUGGCCCGGAGAUGGACACUGAGAGAAGGGUCCAGGUCCUACGGGGCGCAGCAGGCGCGAAACCUUCGCAAUGCGCGAAAGCGUGACGAGGUUAAUCCGAGUGACUCCCGCUGAGGGGGUCUUUUGUCAGCUGUAAAUAGGCAGGCGAAUAAGGGGAGGGCAAGCCUGGUGUCAGCCGCCGCGGUAAUACCAGCUCCUCGAGUGGUCGGGGCGAUUAUUGGGCCUAAAGCAUCCGUAGCCGGUUCCGUAGGUCCUCUGUUAAAUCCAACCGCUUAACGGUUGACCUGCAGAGGAUACCGCGGGACUAGGAGGCGGGAGAGGCGGACGGUACUCCGCGUGUAGGGGUAAAAUCCUUUGAUCCGCGGAAGACCACCAGUGGCGAAGGCGGUCCGCCAGAACGCGCUCGACGGUGAGGGAUGAAGCUGGGGGAGCGAACCGGAUUAGAUACCCG
rnacentral:rRNA from 1 species